AUGGCAGGUAUAAUGGGUGUCACUAUAUUUAUAUCAUUUGUUUCGGUAGCCGUCGCUCUUGCCUCAUCAUCAACCUUGACAGUGACUCCAAUGAAGGCAACCACCAGGAAUACCCCAACAUUGUCUGUCACCAUCCCCACAGUGGCCCCUGCCAUGCCAACCAGUAGGACAAGUUCAUCAGUCAGUGAAGCACCUAAUACAGAUCCUACUGGUGACACUAGAGUCCCAAUGGAAUCAUCAACUUCAUCACCUGCAACUGAGCCUUCCCAAUACUCUCAGCCACUAACUCCAUCACAAUCAUCCAAUGGCAGCACCACCACACAAACCUCUACAGGUUUUACAGCUGACACUACUAUGAAUCAGACCCUAACUGGAAUAGUUGGUUAUGACUCAACAUCCUCAAUCUUCUCAUCAACUUUGUCGCCAAGCUCUGAUUUUACGACAGGGAACAUGAGCUCAAGCACAGAAAGUGAUGGGAGACAUGUCUUAUCAAGGAGUCCGGGCCUCGUAGCAGUCCUCUGCAUAUUCUGCAUCUGUCUGGGUCUUCUGCUGGCUGUUGGAAUUGCAAAGCUCAUUACUCCCAGAGGUUCAACAUUUCAGAGGCUUGAAGAUGUGCCAUUGGGCAAAAUAAAUGAAGAGUCUCCAUUUGCCCGUUACCCUGAAAAACAAUUCUGAAAGAAAACACAUCAUGAGAGAAGGUAUUCUAUUUGGGGUUCAGACAGUGUUGUUCAUGAGGACGUGUCACCCACCAUCAUGUUUAUGUUCCUGUUUUUGUUUGUUUAAUUUGUCUGCUGGAAAGUGCUGGAAAGUGACGUGUGUUUGAAGGAAGUCAGUAUAGGCACUAAAAGCAAUCCUGUGAUGUGGUAAAGAAUAUCUCCUCCCAGGUUGGUCAGCAGCCUACUGAAGUCGAUCGUUGGUACUGUUCAUUCACAGGUGGAUGGAUGCAUCAAGGAACUGAAUACAGAAGAUGCACAGACAAUGUCUGCGUUUACACAGGUAGCCCAAUUCUGAUCUUUUGCCAAAUUUUUUGCGAAAGAUCUGAUUUGUCAAAAAUACCAAUUAUUGGCACAAUAUCAGAAUUGGUCUGCCUUUAUAAACACAGCCCAUGUGUCAGGUAUCACUAGAAAUAAAGCUAUGAAAAAAGCUAUAAUAAAGCCAAAUUCUCUGUUUCUUGAAAAGACUAUGACAAACAGGCCUAAUUUUUGUAUGGGUUGAAAUAAAUAAAUGAUUGCAUUGAAUUGUGUUCUCUUUUUCUCCAGAUGAGAUGAGGUGUUAUAUAUUGGAUCAAGAUACACUGAGUAUAAAAACAUUAAGAACACCUGCUCUUUCCAUGACAUAGACUGACCAGGUGAAUCCAGGUGAAAGCUAUUAUUGAUGUCACUUGUCAGUGUAGAUGAAGGGGAGGAGACAAGUUAAAGAAUGAUUUUUUAAGUCUUGAGACACUAGAGACAUGGAUUGUGUAUGU
rnacentral:lncRNA from 1 species